rnacentral:rRNA from 1 species
CGUAGGGUGCAAGCGUUAAUCGGAAUUACUGGGCGUAAAGCGUGCGCAGGCGGUGAUGUAAGACAGGUGUGAAAUCCCCGGGCUUAACCUGGGAACUGCAUUUGUGACUGCAUCGCUGGAGUGCGGCAGAGGGGGAUGGAAUUCCGCGUGUAGCAGUGAAAUGCGUAGAUAUGCGGAGGAACACCGAUGGCGAAGGCAAUCCCCUGGGCCUGCACUGACGCUCAUGCACGAAAGCGUGGGGAGCAAACAGGAUUAGAUACCCUGGUAGUCCACGCCCUAAACGAUGUCAACUGGUUGUUGGGUCUUCACUGACUCAGUAACGAAGCUAACGCGUGAAGUUGACCGCCGUGGGGAGUACGGCCGCAAGGUUAG